rnacentral:lncRNA from 1 species
UUACGUUUGAUAACAUAAUAUUUAAAUUUACAAGAAGAUCUUACAAAUACGGAUAUAAAAUACUCGGUGUCACUGAGUACAUGAGCAUCUAAAUAAUAACAUAGUCUGACUGAUAAAAUACUGUCUGAAAAUAUAGAACAGUACAAACAACUGAAUGGGAAAAAGAGUCAAGGUCUCCGGACGCCAAGCAACUGCCAUGAUAGUCUCCAACAGAUGAAACUCUGAUAUCUAGCAGUCGCCAUAUCCGCAAGUACCUGGAUCUGCACACGAGAUGCAAAGUAUAGUAUGAGUACAACCAACUCAAUAAGUAAUAAGACUAACCUUUGGGCUAAAAGUAGUGACGAGCUCAACAAGUACAAUCCAGUAUAGAAAUAACAGUACGGAAAUGUAGGCAUGCUUCCAAAUUCAACAGUUAAACUCAGUAAAAAUAAAAUAGAUAAACUCUACAUGAUGUGAGGAAUAUGACAUCUCUAUAUCUACACGCCAAAAUAUAUGACGUAUGUGAUGUACCACAAUGGAACCCUCAUGUAUUCACACUCUCAGAAUACUCAAUCACUCAUCACUAUAUAUGGCCAAUCCAGCCCAGGGAAGAUCCAUCCCAUGUAUAUAUAUACAUCAACUGACAAUCAAUCACUCAGUACUGUAUAAGGCCAAUCCAGCCCAAAUAUAUAAAUGCUUCGGGCAAGAUCCAUAUCGAGGGAAGUCCAUCCCUAAGAUAAAUAAAUAAAUAAGUAAAUAAGGCAAAUCCAUGCCCUGGGAAGUCUAUCCCAAAUAUAAACAUCAAUUGUGCUCACUGUGGGGAGUGCAGACUCCAGAGGGGCUCCUUCAGCCCAAGAGCUAUAUAAAGUCGAUAUGGCCUACUGCGGCGUGCAGUCUGAUCCCAUAAUAAUAAAGCCUAUACGGCCAGUUGUGGCGUGCAACCCCGAUCCAUAUAAUAAUAACAUAUAUAAAGCCAAUAUGGCCUGCUGCGACACGCAGCUCGAUCCCAUGAAUAUCCUCACAAUGGAUGAACAUGAUUGAGUACGAAAUGUGCAUUUUUAAAACAUUUAAUUCAAUAGCAACACAAACCUAUGGAUCCCAAAAUAUCAGCACGUAGCCUAAACAUGAUCUUUAAUACGAGCCUCGGCUCAAUUUUUCUAACAAAUGGAGGAUAUACGGAUAUUGACAUGAUUCUUUAAUUUUACAACUCCACAGAAUUUAUUUAUGUCACAAUUUCUAUGGUGAACUCCCGUCACAUAGCAUGUGUGUCAUCUUCAUACAAUUCAUACAACACGUAAUUCAGGGAUUCAUACUCUCAGAACCAAGUUUAAAAGUAUUACUUACCUCAAACCGUGUAAUUCUUUAUUCCGCUAUGCCAUUGCCUCGCGAUUCGGCCUCCGAACGCCUCGAAUCUAGUCACAAUUAAUUUGAUUCAGUCACUACAAAUUAUAGGAAUUAAUUCCAUAUGAAAAUACUAAUUUUUCAAUAAAAUCAGAAGUUUAACUAAAACUUCACCCGUGGGGCCCAUAUUUUGGAACCCGACAUAAGUUACAAAAUAUGAACGCACAUUCAACCACGAGUCCAACCAUACCAAUUUUACCAAAUUCCGACAUCAACUCGACCCUCAAAUCGUCAACUUUAACCAAGAUGGUUUUUCAAAAUUUUCCAACUUAAUUCACUAAUUAAAUGUUAAAAACAACCAUAGAUUCGAGUAAUUUCACCAAAAUUGAGUUAAGAACACCUACCCCGUUAUUUUUCUUGAAAAUCUCCCAAACAUCACCUCUUCCUGAGCUCCAAAUCGGUAAAAAUGAGAUCUUAAAUUCUCUGCCCAGGCUUUUCUUCAUCGCGAACGCGGCCAUUGCCUCGCGUUCGUGAAGCACAAAAAAUGUUCUGCCCAAAUUCCUCCUUCGCGAACGCGAGCCUGGCCUCGGGAAUGCGAUGUUUCACCAGGAUGCUCAAUCGCAAACACGUUCUCUCCACCGCGGACGCGAAGACCAAAUUCCCCCAUGUCGACUUUCCCUUUUGGUGAACACGAAGCUCCAAUCGCGAACGCGUAGCUCUACCCCUCGAACCUUCGUGAAUGCGUGCCCUCAGUCGCGAACGCGAAGCACAAAAUAGCCCAGUCCAAAAUUCAUUCUUCGCGAAUGCGUGAAUCCCUUCGCGUUUGCAAAGAACAAGACCAGAACCAGCAACAGCAGUGGCAAGACAUGGAGAAAUGAUCGGAAACCAUCCCGGAACUAACCCAAAGCCCCCGGGACCUCAACCAAGUACACCAACAAGUUCUAAAACAUCAUACGAACUUAGUCGAAUCCUCAAAUCACAUCAAACAAUGCUAAAAACACGAAUAAUACCCCAAUUCAAGCUUAAUGAAACUAAAAAAUUCCAACUUCUACAUUCGAUGCCGAAACCUAUCAAAUCAAGUCCGAUUGACCUCAAAUUUUUCACACACGUCUUAAAUGACAUAACGGAACCAGAAUUAUUUUUAGAACUGGAUUCCGACCCCGAUAUCAAAAAGUCAGCUCCCUGGUCAAACUUCCAACUUAAAUUUCUUAUUUUCGCCAUUUCAAACCUAAUUUAACUACGGACUUCAAAAAACAUUUCCGGACACGCUCCUAAAUCCAAAAUCACCAUAUAGAGCUAUUGAAAUCAUCAAAACUCUAUUUCGGGGUCGUUUACACAUAACUCAACAUUCAGUCAACUAUUUCAACUUAAAUUUUAAACUUUAGAACUAAGUAUUCCAAUUCAUUCCAAGACCUCACCGGACCCGAACCAAUUUCCCCAGUAAGUCAUAUAACAAUUGUAAAGCAUAAAUUGACUAGUAAAUUGGGGGGACGGGGCCAUAAUACUCAAAAUGACCGGCCGAGUGGUUACAUUCUCCCCCUCUUAAAUAAACGUUCAUCCUCGAAUGGGUUUAGAAUCAUACUCGGAGCCUCAAAUAGGUAUGGAUAUUUUCUCCGCAUCACUCGCUCAAUCUCAUAGGUGGCUUCUCCGACUGGCUGGCUUCUCCACUUUACUUUCACUGAAGCUAUGUUCUUUGAUCUCAACUUUCGAACCUGUCGGUCUAAAACGGCCACCGGCACCAUCUUUUAAGUUAAAUUACCAUCCAAUUGCACUGUACUAAAAUCUAAAAUAUGAGACUGAUCUCCGACAUACUACCGAAGCAUAGAUACAUGAAACACUAGAUGAACACACGAUAGAUUAGGUGACAAAGCAAGUUCAUAAGCCACAUCUCCAAUCUUCUUAAGUAUUUCAAAAGGCCCAAUAUACCUAGGAUUCAACUUUCCCUUCUUCCUAAACCUCAUAACGCCAUUCAUAGGCGAAACUCGGAGUAGUACCUUCUCUCCUACCAUUUAAGCAACAUCGCAAACCUUCCGGUUGGCAUAACUCUUUUGGCUAGAUUGCACCGUGCGAAGUCGUUCCUGAAUAAUUUAACCUUUUCCUAAGCAUCCUGAACUAGAUCAGUUCCCAAUAGCUUAGCAUCACUCGGCUCAAAUCAACCCACUGGAGACAAAUACCAUCUCCCAUAUAAAGCCUCAUACGGAGCCAACUGAAUGCUCGAUUGGUAGCUGUUAUUGUAGGAAACCUUUGCAAAUGGCAGAAACUGAUCCCAAGAACCUCCAAAAUCUACAACACAAGCGUGUAGCAUAUCUUUCAAUAUCUGAAUAGUGUGCUCGGACUAUCCGUCCGUCUAAGGGUGAAGUGUUGUACUCAAAUGAGCAUGUGUGCCUAACUCUCAUUGCACUGCUCUCCAAAACUGUGAUGUAAAUUGCGUGCCCCGAUCUGAAAUGAUGGACACUGGCACACCAUGAAGGCGAACAAUCUCGCGAAUAUAAAUCUCAGCCAACUACUUCGAAUAGUAAGUAGUCCUAACUGGAAUAAAAUGUGCGGACUUGGUCAACCGAUCCACAAUUACCCAAACAACAUUAACCUUCCUCAAAGUCCAUGGGAGUCCAACUGCGAAGUACAUAGUAAUACGCUCCCAUUUUCAUUCCGGAAUUUCAAGUCUUUGAACCAAUCCGCAUGGUCUCUAAUGUUCAUACUUCACUUGUUGAUAAUUUAAACACCGAGCUACAUACCCAACUAUAUCUUUCUUCAUUUUUCUCCACCAAUAGUGCUAUCUAAAAUCCUGGUACAUCUUAACGGCACCCAAAUGAAUGGAAUACCGCGAACUAUUGGCUUCUUCAAGAAUCAAUUCAUACAUCCCAUAUACAUUUGGCACACAAAUUCAACCUUGCAUUCUCAACACCCCAUCAUCUCCAAUAGUAACAUCUUUGGUAUCAUCGUGCUGAAUUGUGUCCUUCAGGAUAAGCAAUUAGGGAUCAUCAUACUGACGCUCUCUGAUGAGGUCAUAUAAGGAAGACUGAGAAAUCACACAAGCUAGAACCCGACUGGGCUCCGAAACAUCUAACCUUACGAUCUAAUUGUCCAAGGUUUGAUCAUCAACUAAAGAGGCCUUUCACCAACAAGAAUAAAUGCAAGGCUACCCAUACUCACCGCCUUUCUACUCAAGGCAUCGGCCACCACAUUGGCCUUCCCGGGAUGAUACAAAAUAGUAAUAUCAUAGUCUUUUAGCAGCUCCAACCAUCUCCGUUGCCUCAAAUUUAGAUCCUUCUGUUUGAAUAAGUGCUUGAGACUCCGAUGAUAUAUAAAUACCUCACAAGACAUACCAUAGAGAUAGUGCCUCCAAAUCUUCAAUACAUGAACAAUGGCAGCCAAUUCUAAAUCAUGAACAUGGUAGUUCUUUUCAUGUGUCUUCAACUUACUCAAAUUAUAAGCAAUCACUCUUGUCACGGCCCAAACCGAUGGACCAUGACGAGUGCUUGAGCCUACCUGUUGAACACUCCUAAGCAUACGUCUAAGAUAAAACAUGAAAUAACUAUAGGAAAUGCAUAACGUCUAACAGUAAACUACUGAAUUGUGUGAAUAACAUAAGUGAGAAAAUGUGCCCAACAGAAAUAUGUACAUAUAUAUACGGAAUACGGUAGGGAGAGCCGACAAGGCCACAUACUAUCCAACUGUAGAUGACUGUGUACAAACCUCUAAUAGAGUGUAAAACUGUAUAAAGGACGGGACUGGGCCUCAUCAUAUCCUUAUUAAUUUACAAACGUAUCGUACCACAACCCAAUAGCAGCUCCAGAUCAAAUGGAGCACACCAACUCUCGCUGAGCUAAGAUCCUAAAGAGGGGGAUCGUCAGCUUGUCUACCUGCACCUACGGGCAUGAAACACAGCCCCCCAGGCAAUAAGGGAAUUAGUAUGAAUAAUGUACCGAGUAUGUAAGGCAUAAAAAUCAAUAUAUAAAAGGCAUGAAAGAAACAUGGAGUAAUGAACUCAACCUGUAAGUCUCAAUAGUUAUGUGAAUCAUGAAAAUAUUUAUAAUGUCAUGCGUAUGCAUAUAAAUAUCAUAUCAUGCAUAUGUAUAUGUCUACAUAACAUCAUCAAGACUCUUAGGGUAUCCUAUCAUAUCAUCUCAGCAUCUGUGGGCAAAAUUAUGAACGUAUACCAGCUGAUGAGGUGGUGGUGCGUAUAUAAUGCCAUAACCUUUCCCCCAUACCCCAUAUACAUAUAUUAUUCACGUAUAUAAUGCCAUCUGGUCAUGGAUAAAUAUACAUGUAUAAAUGAAUGCAAUGCAUAAUGAAAUAAGUCAAUAAGAUCUCUCAGAAUAUGUUGAGACCCAUGAACAGACGAUAUGAUAGUAGGACAUAUGGGGAAUCAAGAACACAGGUAACCCUAGUACUUCUAGGAAUAGAAUCAUUCGUGAAAGUGAUGUGCUUGCUCAUUUCGUUGUAUCAUAUGGAUCAUGACAAAAGGAAAGAAGGGAUAGCCUUAACAUACCUGUAUGAUCUCUUCCUUAUUAGUCAACCAAGCUCAACACAACUUCUUGCAUCUACAACAAGUGAAAUGAUAUUGUCGUUAACAUAUAAUGUCGUACCAUCGUAUUUGGCUAGUCGUAUGGCUUAAGGAAAAUCGGGCAGCAAUUCCCUUAUUUUUAAUACAUCUUAAAAACCACUAAGGUCAUCAACAGCCCAACAACAACAACUAUAACCAACAAUAGAAACAACAAUAAUAUAAUCCAAUAUGAGUUCUUUCGAUUAUCUUAACAAUCAUAUUGAGAGGCAAACUUGUUUUUACUCAUAACAAGAUAUAAAUUGAAUCUAACUUUUAUUCCAUAAAUUAGUUUACAAACUUCGGAAGAUCAUACCUAUAUGUACUAUAUUAUUUCUAGUUCAAAACAUCCACAAAAUGCCUUCCAAAACAGCCCCAAAUAUCUAGCACCUUAAUUUGUAUCGUCAAUCACUUGUUUUUCAUAUUUUCUUCUUCAAUCAACUUAAUUAACCCCUAGAAAAGCUUAACAAUAGCAGCCACAACAUUAUCAAAUUAUUUCUCAUAAUUUCCAGCCACCACAAACCAUAUAUUUAGCCACAAAACAGUCUAACACAAAAGACAACCAUAUCCCAUGUUCUUGCAAGUGCUAUCUUAUGGUUUUUCACCCAAACAACACAACCAACACAAGAUUAACCUUAAGCACAAUCAAGAAGAUGUUAUACAUACCUUGAACAGAAGAUACAACUCGAAACCCUAUCUCAACUUAGCUCACAAUAUCCCUCAAUCACACCACAAUAUCAUAAAAGGUAUGGCAUGUGGGACAACACUAUCAUUGUACGGCUGCUCAACGAACAGACCGACAUCUCUCUUCGACAAUAACUUGGGAGCACCCUGUAUUGUAUCGACCCUUUCCUGGUGCUCUUUAAUUUGGUCCCGAAGUGCCUUGUUCUCAUUUUUUAUUUCCUCCAUCCUUUUCAGAAUGGUUGUGAGAGCGUCAAUGCCUGUAUGGUUAACAAUAUUAUGAGUGAUACCUGCCGUCGCGGGUAGGGAGGGAAGUUGAUCAUGUUGCUCGUUCACUAUUGGUGUGGUACAUGUUCUCGUAUUUAUUGCGGCCACAUCCUGAACAGGCUUAUGGAGGAUGUUGGUCAGUGUAUCAGUUAGCGAGGCCUCAAGGAAAUUCUUUAUCGCUGGCGGUGCCUCCUCUCCCACGGAUGUGGAGGCUCUCUUGCCAAAGGAUUUUGUGAUGCUGCAAUGGGGAGGGGGUGAUCCACCUCGCCUAGGAGAGGCAUUGGGUGUUGUGUCUUCGUCCACUACUUCUGAGCUCUCAUGGAUGAUGUCUAUGAGGUUGGUUGGGAGUUCACUUAUAAUUCUCGACCUUUCUUCUAUGUUACCUGCCAUGUUAGAUCUAUGCAAGCAGAGAGAAAAAAAUGUGUUUUUUUUACGUCAGCAACCAGUGUCGGUUAUAGAUCCAGAAGGAACUAAAAACUUAGCUAGAAAAUCCCCACAGAAGGUGCCAAAUUGUUUGACCAAAAAAUAUAAUUUUCGGUAAAACUAUUAAAUUUAUAUAAUGAAGGGCUAAAUCUAGUUAAGGAUAAUAACUCUAGAUGUUGAACACAAGGAGGCACGGUAGAUGAGACAGAUUCCGUAUAUGGUUGAUGACAAUAAAUAUAAAAAUACUCUUACAACAAAAACAUUAAGUGAGAUAUAUCUAGCAAUAAAUGUCAGUAAAUGGCAUUUAUGUUAAUAAAGAGAAUCAUCUACCCAAUAAUGAAUGGACAUGACGAAUAUUCUGCCAGAAAACGGUGUAUGACGGAUAUAUCCAAGAUUUGUAUGAACAGUAUUUAACAAAUUUGAUGAUGAUUUGAGUUGAUUCCCCUUGAGUUUGGUUCUUGGUAUCUUGGGAUAUGUUAGGGAGGGUUUUGGAGAGAUUUUGGACGAAAUUUGGGUCAUAAAUGACCCUAAAUGAGGCUAAAACAUCUUUUAAAAGACGUAGGGUCCGUGGCCAUCUCAAGUGGGUCCCAACUAAGCUGGUUGCGCAGUCUUGCGAAAACGCGAAUAUCUCUCUACUCCCACGUCGUACCAACUAACGGUUUAAUGCUUUGGAAACUACACUCGUAGAUCUUCAAAAAGCUAUAUUACAAGGCAAAUCCUUAGUCGGUUUUUUCGCAACUUUAAUUUGAUUUUUUUCCAAACUUAAUAUUUUCAUCCAAACAUCAAAGAUAGCCAUAUUAUGACUUUAAAAUCAUUUAAUUCAUUAUUAACAAGUCUCAUAUUCAUUACGUCACCUUGGGAUGCAUAGGGUGUAACAAUCUUCCCCCCUUAGAAACAUUAGUCCUCGAAUGUUAAACUCCCAGAAAUCUAUAUAAAUUUUGGCAGAGUCUCAUCUGUAACGGUACUACUACCAACCUGUCACACAACAAACCCAACAACACAAAUCCACAUAGGUCCUCAACUAUCAAUACACCAAUGGCCUCACACGACCAAUAACAAUAACUAACAUAAGAAUCAAGUAUCAUAAACGUACCUAAAGGUUGUGAUGUCUCAGUCCGAUCCUCCUCCGGAAGCGGAAACAAGUGAGGAUACCUAGUCUUAAUUUCUUCUUGAUCUUUCCAAGUCAUCUCCUUCACAUUAUUGUUUCACCAAAGUACUUUAACCGAAUCUACAUCCUUAGUUCUCAAUCUAUGAACUUGUUUAUCUAGUAUAGCAAUGGGAGAUUCCUCAUAUGAUAGCUGCUCUAUAACCUGAACAUCGUCGACUGAAAUGACUUUAGAGGGAUCUCCAAUACACUUACGGAGCAUAGACACAUGAAAGACUAGAUGUACAAACUCCAAGUUGGAAGGCAAGUCUAACUCAUAUGCUACUUGGCCUACUCUGCAUAUAAUCUUAUAAGGUCCAAUGCACCGAGGGCUAAGCUUUCCUUUCUUACUGAAUCUCAUAACGCCUUUCAUUGAUGAUAUCUUUUGGAAUACCUAGUCGUCUACCUGAAACUCCAAGUCUCGUCGUCGAUUAUCUGCUUAGGACUUCUGACGACUCGGAGCUGCUAAUAGUCUUUCCCUUAUUAGCUUAAUCUUCUCAACUGCCUGUUGCACUAACUCUGGUCCUAAUAACUUAGUUUCCCCAAUCUCGAACCAUCCGAUAGGAGACCUACACUUUUGUUCGUAAAGAGGUUCGUAUGGAGCCAUCUGAUUGCUGGAAUGAUAACUAUUAUUAUAUACGAACUCAAUAAGUGGAAGAUGAUCCUCCCAGCUACCCCUGAAAUCCAUCACACAAGCCCAUAGCAUAUCCGCUAGUGUCUGAAUAGUACGCUCAGCUUGACCGUCUGUCUGGGAUGAAAUGUUGUACUAAGACCUACCUGAGUCCCCAAUCCUUUUGUAAGGACCUUCAGAAAUUAGUUGUAAACUGAUCACCUCUAUCUGAGAUAAUAUAUAUAGGGAUACCAUGGAGUCGUACUAUCUCCUUAAUGUAAAGCCUUGCACAAUCCUCUACUGAAUACGUAGUCCUGAUAGUUAAAAAAUGGGCUGAUUUUGUAAGUCUAUCAACAAUAACCCAUAUAGAAUCAAACUUACGCUGGGUACAAGGUAAGCCUAUGAUGAAAUCCAUAUUAAUCACUUCCCAUUUCCAAGUCGGAAUCUCUAUAGACCGCAAUAAUUUAUCUGGUUUUUGAUGCUCAAUCUUAAUAUGCUGACAAUUAAGGCACUGAGAAACAAACUCUACUAUAUCCUUCUUCAUUCUGUCCCACCAGUAUAUUCCACUGAUAUCAUGAUACAUCUUCGUCGCUCCUGGAUGAAUAAAAUAACGAGAAUAGUGAGCUUCUCCCAUAACCUGCUGGCGCAACCCUGCCCCAUUAGGAACACAUAAUCGACCUUGAUAUAUGAGGACUCCAUCUCCUGUAAUCUCAAAUGGUGUCUUCUCCUUUGAGGGGUUGUAUCUCUGUAGUGAACUAAUAUAUUAUCUUCAUACUGGCGUUCCUUCACUUCAGUUACUAGAGAUAAUGUCGUCGUGUCCUAAAUAGUAACUCUGGUAUCACUUGAGUCCAGUAAUCGAACUCCAAGAUUAGCUAGCCGAUGCAUCUCACGAGCUAUAUCACUAUUCUCUGGCUGUAAAUAUGAAAGGCUACCCAUAGAUCUACGGCUGAGGGCGUCGGCUACUACAUUCGCCUUCCCUGGAUGGUAUACAAUAUCAACAUCAUAGUCUUUCAGUAGAUCCAACCAUCGCCUCUAACGUAAAUUCAAUUCCUUUUGCUUGAAUAUAUACUGAAAGCUCUUAUGGUCAAUAUAGAUAUCAAUAUGAAUGCCAUACGAAUAGUGCAUCCACAUCUUUAGUGCAUGAAUCACCACGGCUAACUCUAAAUUGUCGGUCGGGUAAUUCUUCUCGUGGUUUAUUAGUUGUCUAGAUGUGUAAACGACAACCUUAAUAUGCUACAUCAAUGCAUAACUAAAUCCAAUGCCCGAAGCGUCACAAUAGAUAGCAUAACCUCCGGUCCCUUCUUGAAGUGUCAGAACCGGUGUUGUAGUCAAUAUGUCCUUCAAUGCCUAGAAAUUCCGAUCACAAGCAUUAGUCCACUUUAGUUUCCUUUUGAGUCAACUUUGUCAAUGGUGCUGAAAGAAAAAAAAAUCCUCUACAAAUCUUUUGUAAUAACCUGCCAAACCCAGGAAGCUACGAACCUCCGUCGGUGUCGUGGGUCUAGGCCAAGUCUUCACUGCCUCAAUCUGCUGUGUAUCAACCCGUAUACCCUCACCUAAAAUAAUAUGACCAAGGAAGGCUACAAAAUUCAACCAGAAUUAACAUUUAGAGAAUUUUGCAUACAAUUUACUUUCUUGUAGAACUCUGAGUACAGAACGUAAAUGAUCUGCAUGCUCAGCCUCUAAACGGGAGUGAACAUCACCGAACGAAUUCAAGUCCAUGAAUAUUGUUGGGGCAUUGGUCAACCCGAACGACAUAACUCGAAACUCAAAGUUCCCGUAUUUGGUCCUGAAUAUUGUCUUCGGAAUAUCUUUCUUUCUAAUCCUUACCUGAUAGUACCCAGACCUCAAGUCUAUCUUCGACAAACACCUGGUGUCACACCUCCUUUUUUCUGUAGGGGAAGGGGAGUUUUAUUCAGUUUAAGUGAUAUUAUUCGAAAUGGGAUUAUUAUUUUAAUCAGAGUCGCCACUUGGGAUAGUUUAUGGUGUCCCAAGCCACCGAUUUAUUUCUAGAAUCCCAAAUCGAGGAAAGCAUGACUCUGUUAAAAAUGUGCGAAAACCAGAAGACCGGGUAAGAAAUUUUGUUAACCCUGGAGAAGGUGUUAGUCAUUCCCGGGUUCCGUGGUUUUAGCACGGUCGCUUAACUAUUAUUAAUUUGCCUAAUUAUCUGAUUUAUUAUAUUUUUAAAGCCUAUUGUGCAUUUUUACUUUUCAACCGCUUUUAAUUAUUUAUGGAUUUAUUUUUGGAACAAGUCACGAUGUCGUACACUUGUCGUUUUGGCGCACGUCGCAAACCGCGCCACAUGAAAUGCACCCGCGAGUUACGGCAUACUUAUUUUAUUAUUGUUUGAAGUUAUAGUCGAGUCACAUGAAAUGCAUACCCGAAAUGGGAUUUACGUAUCGUGACCAUGCCACAAGAACCGUACCCAUAGCCACGAUGAUUUAUCAAUCGCUCCUAAAACGAGCUGCGAUGUUCAUUUCUUAAAGUAUGCGGUUUGAAAUUUUCGUAAGGCCCGUCGCUAUGGUUAUUAGAUGGAUUGGCAAUAAGAAUAUUCAGUACAUUGUUCGAAACUAAAGCAAUCAAGCUAAAAGGCAUUCUGCUUUUGAUAGAUUCAUGUAAAUUGGUCUCUUUUUCCUUAGCCAAGGAAAAUGCACCAUUCGAUUUUACUCCACAGAACUCUCACUAUAAUCAUAAACGGCCCAUGACCAUUGUGGCUUUUAGCUCAAGAAUGAACAAAGUCUAAAGUGAGAGGUUGACAAAUUAAACGAAAAUAAAGACAAUAUAACGAAAGCAGUAUAUGUAUACUCUUGUGCUUAUCUCAAUCAGACCCAAACAAAAUUCAUAUAGGCUCAUCAACAAAAGCUAAUAAAUCUCUUACUCCACUUAUGAGCAGGAUCAUGGUUUUAUCAAUAAAAUAUAACAUGUUAGUUUUCAAGACUAAACUGGACCUGUAUCACGUCAUUACUUCACAGAAUUCAAAAGUUUAACCCAAAUGAUGUAACUGCUUAACAUGGAAACCAACCAGCUAAAGAGCUAAAAUAUCGUAUUAAAAUUGAACUCAUGAAUCAGUUACUUCAAUCAUACAACAUUUAAAUUCCAACAUUAACAAACAAGAUUGAAGAAAAAUACUAAAAAAGAUUUAAUACCGAGAAGAUAGGAAACAAUCAGACCUUUUGUAUUUAAUAAGAAUAUCCGAGUCAAAUCUCUAAUAAACCAGCUAUGAGAUUGAACCAAAAUCCAAAAUUGAUGACGGAACUUGAAAAGAAAAAUGACCUGGACCGCGACCGAAAAAACCUCAGCUCAACUAAAUCUCCAUCUCAAAACAAAACCCAUAAGCGAGAAACAGCAUUUUUUUUCGGAAUGCAAGAAAAAGAUCAAAACUAAACUGAAAUUUUCUCUCUCCCUUUUGUAUCAGUGAAACCAAAAACAAAAUAGAAGAAACUCAGUGAUUUAAAAUAACCUCUCUCAAAUUUUGUCCUAAAUGUUUUUACCUGAAAAUUUGUCUCUGAUUUUCUUCUCCUUUUCUUCCUCAAGACCUUAGAUAUAUAUAGCCAUGCCCUCCUUCCAAAUCCGAAAAUCCUCAACUCUUUGUGUGGACAAUUUUGGGACAAACGGAGGGCAUGGAUCGAUUGUCAAUUAAUCUAUGGCUCCCAUUAAUCUAAAAAUCACCUCAAAAAUAAUCUAGCGGGCAAAAAUCCGGAAGGAAUAAUUCUAUUGUCAGAGUUAGUUACGCUACGUGGCAAGAGGAGAGAGGAGGGAACACGUAAGGGGAGUGGGUUGAUUUUUCUGGUGGGUUUGGGGGGUAGUUUGGCAGCAGAGAAGCGGAGAAGGGGUGGGGGCGCCGUUGGAGAUGAAGGAUUAGGUUUUGGUUUUUUU